rnacentral:rRNA from 1 species
UACAGAGGUCUCAAGCGUUGUUCGGAUUCAUUGGGCGUAAAGGGUGCGUAGGCGGCGCGGUAAGUCGGGUGUGAAAUCUUGGAGCUUAACUCCGAAACUGCAUUCGAUACUGCCGUGCUUGAGGACUGGAGAGGAGACUGGAAUUUACGGUGUAGCGGUGAAAAUGCGUAGAUAUCGUAAGGAAGACCAGUGGCGAAGGCGGGG